rnacentral:tRNA from 1 species
GCCCAGGUGGCGAAACCGGCAAACGCGCGACACUUAAAAUGUCGUCCUGCCGAGCGCAGGUUGUGGGUUCGACUCCCACCCUGGGCACCA